CUCCUCUAGCGCAAUAUACAUACUGUCAGAAAGAGGUUUGUGAAUUUGAGAUUUCAAUGGAACCAUUGUUACCUUGUUACUAUACUUCUUCCAGUCAAAAUGAGAUUAAUGAGAUAACUACAUGUUAAACCUGUAAAGAUUUUAUUUUUCAGCAUUUAAAAAUCUGCCAUGUGGAUUCCGCAAUGCAAUUUAUUUCUCCUACACUAUAAAUUAAACGUCUGCUACACAGACUUUUGUGCAUGAUGUAACAACAACAAGCGUGCAGCGCCACGGCAGCCGCUGUAGGCAUUUUCAUAGCAUUUCAACAUGUGGCAGUUUAAACAGCACAAUUUAUUUUUUUUAAAACAUGAUAAUAACAGGCUGUGUAACAUCAGUAGUUCGUAGUAAACAUGCUAGGUUAGACGUGUAUAUGAUAAAUUUAAUUACGCUUAAGAGUAUGAUGAGUUUUAUGGCAUUGCUUUUCUGAGAGGGGUAAACAUUCAUACUUCAGCCAAAAUCACUACAGCUUAGGGUCUCGCUUGGUUAGUUAACAGGAUGAGCAUAUCAGAGAGUAGCAGUCAGAGGAGUGACAGAGAGGGACAGCAUUACAUGUGCAGACAUCUUAACACUGGGUGACAUUGUGAAUCCUGUUGCUGCGUAGUUGUAUUGUGCUGAUUUGUGAGUUAGGCAGAGAGCCGGCUAAUGUUUAAGACCCAACUAGCCUAAGAAGACAUUUAACAUAAAAGCAGGUAAAAAAACAAUAUAAAGCUAAGACAGCUGCAGAGCAGCCUACAUGCGUAUGUGAUUCCCAGUCAGGCUGGCCCGUGUGAGUCAUAUAUGGAAGUCGCAGCAGUGGCAACUGUUGUUAGUGGUUAGCCCCAUAAUGGCGGUACAGCUUUAGGUAGUGGGCUUAAGUUCAUCCUAUUCCCAAGGAUGGGAAGUGUGAGUCUUGUGCACUGAGGGCAAAGGUGGCUGUAGCAUUCUGAUGGCUCUGUUGGGCAUCCCUCCAGCCCCAGGCCGGUUGACAGGCCAGCAUCUUCGUGCCACGGACUUGGGGGCUCCUGGUGUCCUAGUCCUCCACUAUAGGGGCUAAGCAGGAGGAUUUGGUGGUAGGUGGCCGCUUGUAGCGGGUGAUCCUCCGCCUGUGUGGACGGUGCCGUGGGGUUCUGCCCCUGGGGGCUCUCGGCCUAGGUGAUCUCUUAAUGGGAGGAGGUUUAUGUGCUUUGGAGACAUGGAUGAUCAAAGGGGGCCCACUCACCAUCCAGCUCUCAACCUUCCGGUCGUCCUCCCGAUGUUGGGGCUUUGCUGCUUUUUGGCGUGCCUCCCACUCGGCCCAGAAGCUGGUAACGAUUUCGUCCAGCCUCCAUUGGGUGAUCUGUGCCUGGUUUAGAGGCUCCGGCUCGGAUUGCUGGGAGUUUUCGUCUUGCAGGGUAAGUCGGGCCGCCAUCUUGUGUGUUUCCGCUGGGGCAGUAUCACAGCUAGUUAGGGCGAUUAAAUUAAAUUCACUUGGUGCCAGGUACAAGCCAGGGCUGACCGUGAUAACCCCCACCUUUCCAGAGGUGGGGGGGAACAGGGCUGUGUUACAAGCUUUGGAGGGCACUAGGUUGCGCAGAGCAGGGGGAUCGGCCGCCUCACGCGUCCGGAGAUACUGCUAGGCCUCAUUCCCGACACCCUCGACGGACGCUCCGUGCACCCGUGGGCGACAGACCCGGGGCACCUCGGC